rnacentral:lncRNA from 1 species
GCCUCGCGAGUAAAAAUAUCUCCAGUCCUUCGCCCAUAUACGUUUCAUUGUACUAUCACUAUAUUCUUUACUACUAUUCCUCGUCAGGGAACUCCACUUUGCUUUCAGGACAGAGACCCUAUACUGAGAAAGCAAGCAAAAGCUUCGAGAUAUGAUGCUUGCAGUUGAAAGUCUGAAACUAUUUAUAUAAUAUGUUACAAGUUAAAAGGAAACAAAGAAAACAUGUGAGCAUAUAUCUCUAUCUCAAUAUAUUCACAUGUUACCAAGAAUGAAUAAAUUAAGAUAUCGUAAUCAAAAACAUGGGACAAGAAUGUGUUAAAGAGGAAGGGAAACGUAGGAAAGGGGGCUAAGGGAGCUCAGGAUCAGAUAUCUUAACACAUGGACUGUUGUUCACUGGCUUAUUGAGUUGUUAUGUUGGGAGGCUCAAACCGUUGUUUUAUGAAUCAUUACGUUAGCGAACAAAGGAAUUGCUAUGAUGGGAGGGCUUCCUAUCUGGAGCUCUAGCUAUCCUUAAGUUAAAGGAUGGUGCAUUAAGUUUUCAGCAAGCAAACCAUCAGUAAGGACUCAUUUUCAGGUAUCUUUCAGAGUUGUCAGCUUCUACAUAUUAUUGAUCUCUUCAGAUGUUCAUUUCCUUGAGGCUUUUAAGGUAGAUUACUUGCGAGGUUCCAUAUUUCUUCUCCCUAAACUGGCUGCUAUUUGCAACAAUAUAAUAAUAUAAAAGCCUCUCUUCUUAAAAUUUGCACAUAAAUCUUAAACUGGUCCUACGUACGUCAGUC